AUCUAGAUGACCAGUUCCAAAUAGAACGAAACAAGUGUCUUAGAU
rnacentral:hammerhead_ribozyme from 1 species